rnacentral:rRNA from 1 species
CAGUCGCCACGGUAAUACGUAGGGUGCAAGCGUUAAUCGGAAUUACUGGGCGUAAAGCGUGCGCAGGCGGUUUGUUAAGACAGAUGUGAAAUCCCCGGGCUCAACCUGGGAACUGCAUUUGUGACUGGAAAGCUAGAGUCUGGCAGAGGGGGGUGGAAUUCCGCGUGUAGCAGUGAAAUGCGUAGAUAUGCGGAGGAACACCGAUGGCGAAGGCAGCCCCCUGGGCCAACACUGACGCUCAUGCACGAAAGCGUGGGGAGCAAACAGGAUUAGAUACCCCCGUAGUCCCUGUCUCUUAUAC